rnacentral:rRNA from 1 species
GACGAACGCUGGUGGCGUGCUUAACACAUGCAAGUCGAACGGAAAGGCCCUGCUUUUGUGGGGUGCUCGAGUGGCGAACGGGUGAGUAACACGUGAGUAACCUGCCCUUGACUUUGGGAUAACUUCAGGAAACUGGGGCUAAUACCGGAUAGGAGCUCCUGCUGCAUGGUGGGGGUUGGAAAGUUUCGGCGGUUGGGGAUGGACUCGCGGCUUAUCAGCUUGUUGGUGGGGUAGUGGCUUACCAAGGCUUUGACGGGUAGCCGGCCUGAGAGGGUGACCGGCCACAGUGGGACUGAGAUACGGCCCAGAGUCCUACGGGAGGCAGCAGUGGGGAAUAUUGCACAAUGGGCGGAAGCCUGAUGCAGCAACGCCGCGUGCGGGAUGACGGCCUUCGGGUUGUAAACCGCUUUCGCCUGUGACGAAGCGUGAGUGACGGUAAUGGGUAAAGAAGCACCGGCUAACUACGUG